GAAAAUACCAUCUUUUGAAAAUUUAAACCAAACUUGAGAUUUUUCUUGUGCUAUAUUCCCAGUCAGUAACAGGAGGUUUAGGUUUCCUGAUUCUGUUUUCUGAAUGGUUUUUGUAAGCUUUAGAAUCUAUUAGUAAUGUUUAAAACUACAUCUUAUUACCAUUUCUGUUUUGCUCUGUGCAUCUUGUUUUUCCGCAGCAGAACGUAGCUACAGUGAAAGAAAUUAAAGCAAGACCUUGUGUGAAGUUCCAGAAAGCUCAUAGUUUUCCCCUUUUAUCCUCAUAUUUUGUUUCUCUGGUCUUGUGAGGCAGAUAUUUGUCUACAACUACAAGCAUAAGCUGAACCUUAAGCUAACAAAGAUAAGAAUUUGUAUUGAGAAGGCAAAAUUUCUUACAUUAGUUUUUCUGGAGGAAAAAGUAAAAGACAUAGUGACAGGAACAAUUAAAACAGUGAGAAUCUCACUUCAUAGGGAGAAAUAUCCGUAGGAGUAUGAAAACAAACUAAUUAAGUUGCGAUAAACACAUUAUAUUUUUACGGUAAUGAAAAUAUUUUUAUUUAUGAACAUUAGAAAAAAUACUUCAGAAUAUAGCAUGGCUAUUUUCUUAAUUGAAUUUUGCAUGCUUUAUUUCAGCUGCAGUUAAUAUUAAGAUCUGAUUAGGACUUGGCAAUGAACAAUUUAAAGUUUUUGUAUAGUUUUGUUUCUUCAGUGGAAGUUAUUUUUGUUUAAAUUAAGGAAAAAUCUAAGAUUAUACACAUAAAUGAUGAUUGCAAAGACCACCAUGAUAUUUCAUGCUGUAGGUUGCACUGGAGGUUGGUGUUUGCCCCUCCUUUUUCUUGUGCCAUAAUUUAGUAAGAUUUCUAGUAUGGAAAAUUAUUCCUAUGAUUGUAUUAAAAUGAGUUAAACGGAGCCAAUUGUCUUUGGUACCAUAAUGGUAAACGCAUGUUUUUUUUUAACUGAAGUGAAACCUGGGGAAACAGCAAAAUAAAUGAAAGCAGGACACCAGAUGUGGAAAACCAGACAUACUGGUUACCACCUGCUUUGGUAAGCCCUUGGACUGUCUGGUAAGCCCUUGACUGGGAACUGUGAAGGAGCAGCAUGAAGAACCAGAAACUUUGGAAGCCACCAUCUGAGAGAGGAUGUGUCUGGUUUUAGAACCCCCAGCUGACCUCGGGCACCUGAUGCUGACCUCCCACACUGUGCUUCCCAGCACUCCAAGGGCUCUGAGCACUGAUCUGCAGAGUUCCUGGGAUCUGCUCUGGCUCUGCCACUAAAUUGGACACAGACAAUGUUAAGUAGUCCUUUUAAUCAAAUAACAGUUUUGAGAAUGAUGUUAUGCUACAUGAGAGGUCAUAUAUUAACCUUUCCUGUAGAAUAAAACAAGCCAUUAUCAUUUUUAUGUGCAGCUCUUUGCAUUUUAUGCAUUUUGUAUAACAACUGUCUAGGGUAAGGUUUUCAAAGCCAUUUAGGGGACAUGAAUUUUAUGAGUGUCGUUCUUGUCCUGAGUAACCGAUCAAGGCUGGGAGAUUCCUUUUGGGUGCUGUAGGUUUUGUGACGUGCAGAAUGAACAGUGCUUUGGUGAUUGCCAGUGAUUUGACUUCCUGGGUGCAGAUGUUGGGUUCUGGAGGUUUAUUUGAAUUAUUUGAUUUUUGUCUCUGCCAGUCUUCUUACUGUUUGCUUUGUACUCGCUUGUAGUUAAUAUAAUAUUACCAUUUUUAGGUGGUCUCACUCUUCACAACCACUGGCGUAGAAAUUCAUGCCCAAGAUACCCCUGCAGCAAUAUUUAAAUCCUGUUCUUCAUUAUGGGUAUGAUAUGAUAUCAUUAAUCCUUGGCACUGUCCCAGAAUGAAUUUGGUAGGCAACAAUUCCUGCAAGUAGAAGAUUGCUAGAGACUUCAAUGAGCAGAAGCAGUUGCAAUGAACCCAUCUCUGAAAAGGCAGGAGGUUUACAUUUCUACUGCGGACACAUUCAGACUGAAGCUGUGACUGAAGAAGAUAAAGCAGCCCUAAGACUGAUGCAUCUAGGUCACUGCUCCUGCUAUCUGCCAGUGCUUUUCUAGCCCCAGAAGAGAACAACCUGCCCAGGAAAUCAAGCAGCAAUGCUUGGAAGGGACUCCUCUCCAGUGGAUGCAUACCAACAUGAUGGAAUUGUGAAAUGACAUGUAUAAUUACGAUAGGAAGAGAUGAACUUUCAUGACGCUUCCUUUACAGAUCAAUAAGCCUCUGGGUUAAUUGCAGAAUUUCUUGCUGUUAAGUCCAGAACACCUGCUGUAAAACAAGAGGAUUUCCAGAGUAUCCUGAGGAAAACCUGCACAGGACCUUCAGGACUACAGAAAAUGUGACUCUUUGACUGUUCCCUGGUCAGAGAUGGCUUAGAGUGCCUUACCUCCUCCACCACCCAGCUCUGCCAGAAGAUUUGAAGCACCUUGCAAGCAUGACACCUUCCAGGAGGUACAAGGGACCACAUGACUGAAGAGAGCCGGGAGCUUUGGCGGUCGAUACACUGGGAUCUUGAUUUGUGAAGUUCCUUGAUGCCACAGACAACUAACUUCGCUCAUAUAUGUGUAUAUUACUCCAUCUUGAGAAGAGUUCUAAAUUUGCAGCCAAGAUUUGGAAUAGUUGGAUGAAGCUAAUUUUUAUAACUAUGUGGAAGUUUUUCAGAGUUUUUAGGACGGUAAAGACUGUGGACUAUUUCUCCUGUGCAACGUAUUUUCCCUCAAAGUUCACCUAGACUGACAGACCAAAUUUAGUUCUGAAUUAUGGAAUCACAGAAUCAUAGGGGUUGGAAGGGACCUCUAGAGAUCAUCAACUAAACACUGUCUAAAUUCUGCUAGGCUUCAUAUGUUUCUUUUAAACUUUUCCACAGCAGAAACCGAACCUACCACAGUGUAUUUUUUGAGUUUGACCUAUAUAAUUCCUCUAACGACUUCUCCAGUGGUAAGUGUGGAGUGAAUGACCUUACAAAGCUAAGAGACUGUGCUUGUCGAGUAUGUUCUUCAUUUUAGAGCUGUGUCACGUUGCAGGUCACUGAAUCCUCAGAGACUCACUAGUCUCUGAGAAUGUGAGAAUGGAAAAUGGGGCCAUAUAUAGGAAGGUUAUCGCAAUGUCGCUACUACAGGAAAGCAAGAAUCUUCUAAACAAAGAGUGAACUAAACACUGUCAGACUCAGCAGAGACAUUUGUAAAGCUGAAAAUUCUACUUGCUGCAGAGUUUAUUUCUUUCUCAAAGCAGGUGCAAAUAGCUGUAGCACCAAAGGAAUCCCAGACUCUCUUCCACUCUGCUAUACAGCCCACACUUUCAUAGGAUGAUUUGAAAGGGAAUCUUGGUAUUUUCUGUCCAAAUUUGGACGUGGAGUAGCAAGCCUGGUCUGACUCUAACUGCAAGAUAAGCUAAAUGAUUUUUUUUUUUUGGAAGGUUGUUGGUUUAGCUCUGGGCUGGAGACUCUUCAUCCUUAUACAUAUGACUUUCAGAGGACACAGAAGCCCAGCCUCAGCUAGCAAGGUUUCCAGGGUUACCCAUUCCUCAGUUAACUUUCCUGGUUUGCACCAGAGAAAUCAGUAAUAAAAGACAUGGGUAAUAAAUACCAGUUCAGUCUCACAGACUCUCCGUUUUCCAGUGAAGACCACCAGAAAAUGUCAGUGUUACAGUCAACAGCCAAGGGCUCACCUGAUUAUGGGUGUGAGGACUUUUUGUGCUACUGUGGUUAACAUGGCAGAAAAUUCUAACAUAAAUGAGUCAGCUUGCCCAAGGCAAAGGCUUUUUUUUCCACCAAAAUUUUCCCACCAUGUGGCAGAUGCUAUCCUGUUCUUUGGACAGCCUUUAACUGAACAUCUCCCAGUGCUUCAUAGACACUAAGCCUGAAAUAUAUACUGCAGCUUUAAUUCUAUCAUGGCCGUUCAUAUUCCCAUACAGGACUCUUAGUCUGCUUUAAUUUGAGAGUUGAAAAGGGAGAUAGGCAAAGCUAGUACGAAUUUGAAAGACUUGACCAUUUCUCUGAAGUAGUUUGUUUAUAGUGCCAUCAACUGAACAGAAUGGCAUACUGUAGAAGUUGAAAGUAAUUUAUCUGAAGGCUGCUGGUAGAAAACCAUGAUAUGACAGUAAAAACCCUUAGGUAUCAUUCUUUCCUCCGCUUCAAAACAAUCCAGGAAUAAUUCUUAAACAUCUUACCAGCAUCCAAGGUAGUUUAGAGGAGUAUUGCAAGUGUGUAAAUUUCUCAGUAAAAUUUACUAUUUUAUAUAAAAUUCAUUCAAAUAUUUACUGCUUCUAAAUUACUAUCUACACUUUAUGUUUGGUCACUGAAAAAAGAUUACAUUGUAUUUACCUCUAAAUUCAUGGCUUCUGAAUGAGCUGAUGAGCUAAUGAGUCCAUUAAAAUGUGUAAUCAUACAAAUGCAUACUUGUGUGCAUUUAACGUGCUUUUGGUUUGGUUGGGGUUUGUGUGUGUUGUUUUUGUCUUUUCUUCUCGAAUGUGCCCUUAUGAACAAAACUUUAUUUAUAUGAAGGUUCCCCUCAUGUGGGUGAACACUGUUCAGGAAUGCUUUCAGACAUAGUUUGAUUUUUAUUUGAAUCAAGGUUCUAAAAACAGUUUUAUGCAAUAUUGUUAUUUCUACACCGAAGUAAGUUUCGAAGUGGAUUAACACGUGGUACCUGAGCUUUAAUACUCUUCCAUUCUCAAUUUGAAUUUAUCGGCCAUGGAGUUUCAAACUGGGGAAUAUCUUUAACCUUUUUAAUUAGUUCUUCAUUGUGGGGAACAGAACAAACUGGCAGACUACAGUCACAAUUAUCAAAAGCAAAUACAGACAGUAUUACACAUCCAGCUUCUGAUGAGAAAGGAUAAUGAGAAAUCUGAUUUGAUCCAUGACAAACCAUGGGUCAGCAAAUCAUGCCUGCUUCUUGUGUUCUAAACCAUGCCUUUUUUUCACUAAUUUUAACUUCAAUUUCUUUUUCAGAAGGGCAAACUCACGAACACUCACGCUUUCAUCAUCUGGGAAGCACUUGUAAUAGCCAUUCAAUAAUUUAAAAUUAAAAUAGCCCCCUGUUGUCUUUUCCAGGUAUAAUGCAAGACAGCUUUAUUUCCUUUUUUUCUUUUUCUUUUUCUUUUUCUUUUUCUUUUUCUUUUUCUUUUCUUUAAGAGGCUUUUUGAGACCUUAAAUGACCAACAUGUGAUCUGCCAUUAGCUUCUGCGACUGGAGUAGUGUGGCACAGGCAUCUAUGGGAAGCCUAUGGAGGAUGUUAUGAAGGCUUCAGACAUUUGUCUGAGGCAACUAAUGGAAGAAUAUAAUCAUUACAAACACCUUCAGUAGUCAACAGAGAAAGAGAGAAGCCUUCCCAGCUGUUCAGCAAAAUACUCUGCUAUGUGUCUCUUUGUUCCCUGCAUUUUGCUCCAGAGCGAUCCAGUGCCCUCACUGUUUGCUGACUGAGAAUUCUACUUUUAUUAAAAAAGUAAAUUUGCCUUGGAAUCAGCUAGUAUCCUACAGAAACCCUGCAAGGGUGCAGGCAGUAGGUGCUGAGAGCAGAUGUAGUUGCCACGUAGAGAUUAACCAGAUGAGUGUUUCAGAUGGCACUGCUGGGAUUUGUUACUGCUCUCUGAUGACCAAACACUGCGGAAACUAUUAUGAGAGUGAAAUUUGCUCUGUGCUGUGCUGCUACAAUACAACUACUGUUUCUUUUCAUCAACAUCAGAACAUGAAAAUAGAGCAAGAAUCAUGCACAAGCUGCAGCGAAGCUCAUAUUGAAGAUCUUCAUAUUUUUUGCAGCUAAUAAUGAAACAUUGUUCUUCAUACAAAUGCCUCAUUAACUCAUUAUUCUAGGCAAGGUGCAAGUUCAUAUAACUCACAAAUUAUGUUAUUUCAAUAAUAGCUGUGGAAGUUAGAAUGGAAACACUUUAAUCUUGCAGAGGCAAAUGUCAUGACAACAAUCAGUAAUGUUGUCUUCACUGUAUUAAGCCAGAAGCUGUGCUGGAAAAUGAAUAUGCUCCAUAUGCUGAUAGGCACACCCAGAGCCGCAAGCAGCAAUCUUUUUUUUAUAAAGCAGGAUUUAAGAGUGACAUUUAUACCAACCUUUUCCUUUAUAACAAAAUUUUGUUUAAAAACCUCCAAUGUAUUUUGCUUAUAAGUGAGGGCUUUUUUUUAUUCGUUCUUUUUUUUUUCUAAAUACAAAGCUGGGGACCUCUGGGCUCGGGAGUUCUAUGGCUAUUAUUUUUAUUUUACAAGUUUAUAAUCCUGCAGAAGUUCAGUUUAUGUUUCUGUAGUUCUCAUGCCAUAAUGUGCAAACACAAAAAGCAACAGUAAAGAAGAAAAUCUGAAAUAUUCUGACUUUGAUUUUACUGCAUAAGGCCCAAUCACAUUUUCCUAUCCUCACUUACACCAUUAACUUUUCUGUUAUAUUUGUUUAUAUUGCUUUUACCAAAAAAAAAAAAAAAUGUUUUUUUUGCAAUUUAUUUUCUGAGUACCAGGAUAUGCAGAUAGUUCCAGUGUUCCAUGGCUUAAACUGGACUAUGGUUUCAUUACAAAAUAAACUUUUCUCAGUUAGUUACUGUUAACAUGGCCCACCUAGGACAAAAUUUUGCUCUCCCACCAACCCAUUUCAUUCCUGAUGGAUAGAGGUCUGGAAUUCUGCAUACGCACCUGGGCACAACAAAAUCCCUCUGGAUUCUGCAAUCUUCUCUUCAAGUUGGUUGUUCUAAAGUUAAUUUGAAGCUUCAUAGCUUGUGGCAGCAAUAAAUAACAGAAAAGUAUUAGGCCGUGCAACUCUUGACUCAAGAAAAAGAGAGAAAUUUGAAGGGGAUGGGGACAGUCAACUUUGUUGACCCUGCUGCUAACAAAGAGGUGAAAUGAUGGGAAAAUGAUUGCUGUUGAUUAGAGGGGCCACCCUUAUGUCAGACUCACUCAAAAAACGUGACAGCCUGGGAGAAGUAAGUUUUCAAGACCUGUGUAGAAUCACACAGUUAUUUUCCUGCCCCAGCCAUUUGUAGCCAUUAGCAACUGCCUGUGUUACUUAUCCUAUGCUGGACUGUGUAUUUACAUGCACACAGGUAUGUAACAUUAUCUGUGUGUGUAUAUAUAUACACACAUACACACACUUAAUGGUUUUCUAGUAUAACCGAACCUCUUCUUGACAAAUAAUGGAUAUUACAAUAUAUUACUAACAGUGAAGAAUUUUCUUAGUUGCUUGUGCUUUUUUGGAGCAAAAGAGACAAGUUUCCGUGGUUAACAUGAAAUCAUGUGGACUAUGGUGCUCUCAGUUAAGAGGUUUCCUACUAUUUACUAUCAGAUCUAGCACAGCACCAAACAAAGAAUCUCUGUACCCAGUUGAAAUGUCUUUUUUAGACGCAGAAAUUUGGUCAGAAAAAGUCUACAGUGGUGACGUGCAAGAGCCAGAAACCUCACACUGCAGCUCUAGGUUCAUUCUAGUUCUAGGGAGACAUAGCCAGCCCUGAGCAAUUAAUAUCCUUUUCUCACACCCAGCUUCAGCCAGGAGGUGUCUUUCCUUCCUGGAAAAUGUUCCCAUCCAUUUUGUAACAGAUGAAGUAAGACAUCCUGGUAAGUAAAUAGGAAUUUGUAGCACUGUAUGAAUAUUCAUUUUUUCUGUCCAAACACAGCGAUUAAAACCUAACAUUUUAACCUCUGGAGAUUUCAGAAUGUGCAAAUCAGGUGCUAAAUGGCAGCUUUAGGAAACUAUUAAUACAAACCUAGUUUGCUCUGCUAGUAAAAAGCAGAGAUUUCUUAUCUCCAAUUUAAAACAUGACCCAAGUGGAUAUAUUUAUCAUUGCAAUUUUUGUCUUAAUACAUCAGUUGAUAGCAGGAGGACUGGAGCCAGAAGCAGCCACAGUCUCUGUGUGCAGUAGAAGGUGUAGAGCUGUGUGCCUGAACCUGCACCGUGCCACCUGCAACCAGCCCUGGAAUAGAAGGAAAGGUGGGUAAUACCCUAACUCUGACAGCCCUCCAUUAGAUCAUGUCCCUGAGCACCACAUCCAAACAGUUUUUAAACACAUCCAGGGAUGGUGACUUAACUACUUCCCUUGGGAACCUAUUCCAGUGCUUAACAACCCUUUCUGUAAAGAAGUUUUUCCUGAUAUCCAACCUAAACUUACCCUGGCACAACUUAAGGCCAUUUCCCCUUGUCCUGUCACCAGUGAGAAGAGACCAACCCUGCUCUCGCUGUAAGCACCAUUCAGAUACUGGAAGAGAGCAAUAACGUCUCCCCUCAGCCUCCUUUUCACCAGACUGAACAGCCCCAGCUCUUUCAGUCUCUCCUCAUAGGGCAUAUUCUCUAAGCCCUUCACAAGCCUUGUUGCCCUUCUUUGGACCUGCUCCAGCAUCUCAAUGUCCUUUCUGUACUGAGGUGCCCAAAACUGAACACAGUACUCGAGGUGAGGUGUCACCAAUGCCGAGUACAGGAGCAGGAUUACUUCCCUAGUCCUGCUCACCACACCAUUUCUCAUACAAGCCAGGAUGCCAUUGGCCUUCUUGGCCUCCUCUGGGCACACUGUUGGCUCAUAUUCAGCUGACUGUCCAUCAGUACACCAAGGUCCCUUUUCAUCAAGCAGCUUUCCAGCCACUCCUCCUCAAGCCUGUAGGGUUGCCUGGGGUCGUUGUGACCAAAAUGCAGGAUCUGAAACUUGGCCCUACUGAAACUCACACAGUUAACCUUGGUCCACUGAUCCAGUCCAUACAAGUCCCUCUGUAGUGCCUUUCUCCUCUUUGGCAGAUCAACACUCUCCCAACUUGGUGUUGUCUGCAAAUUUACUGAGGGUGCCUGUGGUAGAACUAAGCAAGGCACUACAGUACUGAAUAACUUUUAUGAGCACUUCUAGCAGGAUAAGCUAUGCUGAACUACAACAGGGAGAUGCUGAGGCUGAGCUGUCAUGACCUAGGAGUGGAUGUGGGAGCUCAUGUUUCACAGAAUGGCUCAAGCACAAGCACUGCUUUGUUCCCAGUGCUCCGUGGGGCAUGGCAUAUUUGCGCCUCUGCAUCAGAGCAGCUAUAGCCACACAACCAGGUAUGUACUAGCUUACUACCUAAGGGGAGGUUUUUUAGGAUUUGCUGCUUGUCUGAUGACUGAAAUUGCCAUCUGGAUCUCAGUGAGUGGUACUUCUAGGCAAACCUUUCUAGUGCUGGUGGGAAUCAAGCCAUAAAAACAUGAAUGCCUUCUUAAUUCUUUUUUUCAAGGUGGUGACACCCAGCUAAAACACUUGAAAGAACGAUUUAAGCAAAGUGACAAGCUAGUGGCACUUUUCUAACUAUUACUUUUAAACACUACAGGUUAAUCUCUUUGAUUGGGAAGCUUUAGGAUUCUUUUCCUAGAGAGCUCCCAAUGGCAAUCAGUAGAAAAGUGAAAACAUCUAAAUCAUCUCUUCUGAAAGCCAGUGUGAAGGAAAGGUAUGCUCUGAAGUCUGCACAUCAGGUCACAGCAUAAAAGAGAGAACAAGAUAAGUCAUAUAAGCUCUCUUUCCUGGAGAUGUCAGCCAAAAUGCCGCAUGAUCACCAACAAGCGCAAAAAUGAACAAACUUCAGGGAUCAAGUCUAAGCAAGAGAUUAGAGAAGACAUCCCCCCAGAAUGCUCCCAAACUUCCUACUCUGGUUCCUCCUGAAGAGCAGAAUUCUGCUUGGACAAACUACCUACAGACUGAAAUCCAAGUGUGUUGAUGCCCGGGCUGUCUUUUCCCCAGAAGCAGGAGCAAAAGAGAAGAAACUUUUCUUCACUUUGCAAAACGAUGUCUCUUUUGCACCACUGACUUUUUUCACUCCAUAAAUGAUUUCCAGGUACCUGUCUGGAAGAGAAGAAGAAAUACAUACCCCAGGAGGCUUUGCAUUCAGAGAAGAGAUAUAACCCCUGGCAAGGUCACCUGAUGUCCUUUUCUUCUUUUGGCUCUCCUCCCUGCUGCUUGACCCAACUGCACAUCUCACCUCAGUGUUACAGUGAGGCUUUCAGCUCUUGGACACUCCUUCUCUCAUUAUAUUUGAUUGAUUAGCUUCAAUUCUUAUUAUAUUGUAUUAUAAUGUAUUAUCUUGCAUUCUGAUACUAUAUUUAGUAAAUUAGUUUCUUUCUUCUCAGAUUGUUGCUCCUGGUCUUAAUUGUUCAGGGUCCCCUGUUUCCUUUUUUUGGAGGUCUGGAUCUGUGGAUCCCUCCACCCUGCCAGUCAUGGAACUGGGCUGAACCAGAUCGUUACUGAUCAAUCUCUAAAAAUGAAUGAAAUUUGAGGUCUGAGAAAAGAUUUUUCAUGCCACCCAAAUUGUCACCUGGUUACUUCGAUGUUGGGACAAUGGGGUCAACAGUGUGUGGCAAGAACAUAGAGAAGGUUGCCAACUGGGUGGCAUUGCUAGGGACUCAGCCAUUGGUAUUAGUACAUGCUAGAACCAGGCCUCUUCACCCUCUGAAAGAGGAUGUUGUUAGCUGUGAAAGAAAGAUACCCCUUCAAAGACGAUCUGAUGCCUGAGGGGAAAAAAAAAAAAAAAAAAAGGACUGAUAGGGAAAAAGACAUCUGUUACUUGAGAGACUAUGCUGUGGUGGAAAUGUUACGUAGCCCCAUUUUCAUUCCUGAUGAGCCAGACCAAGAGCAUGAUCCUGGGAGAGUCAGGUGUACACAAAGUAUGUGGCAUAUAUUCACAAAAACUGCACCAGAAAGGUAUGCCAGUUCGUGUGCAGCAAUGUAUGGCAGAGGGGAAAGAGGACCCCCUUAUAAACAAACUGAUUAAUAAACUCCAAGACUUUGAGUUCCAUUUCACCCCUCUAUGAGCUUGUGUUUCCGCUAUUUCAAAAGUAGCUGAAAAACUGGACAGAAUGGAAAUAUGAUAGAUGAACUGUCUACUGUGCUUAAUGCUGAAGGAUGCGUGGUGGUAUCAGAUACAUCUGAUGGGGACAAGGAUUCCCAAAACAGCCUAUUGGGCAGGCUGAUCAAAUUGGUUUCCUCCCAGCCUGGAUCAUCCAAUGUCUCAGCUAUCAAAAGAAAACAUCUUCCUGCACAUUCAAGUGACAACAGUAAGACUGUAAAACUGUUGCGUUUUGCCGUGUGGCAUUACCUACAUGACCAUGGAGAAGAUAUGAAGAAGUGGCAUAAAAAACCCCCUCCUGCACUUCAAGCUUGGGUAAAAGAAUUACAAGACAGAUCAACCGCUAAGGUGAACCUCUCCAAAGAGAUGAUUGCUUCAGUUGCUGUGGGACACAGCAAUAGCCAUAAGAACAACAGAGAUAACAAAUAGAGGGGGCCCUGCCCCCAGCCGGGGGUGGAAGGGAUAAUAGAGUGCAUUGGACUGUGUGGAUUAGAUGGCCUGGCAUGUCAGAACUACAGAAAUAUAAGGCCCUGGUGGACACUGGUGCACAGUGCACUCUAAUGCCCUUGAGUCACCGAAGGAAAGAAUCAAUUUAUAUUCAUGGGGUGACUGGGGGUUCCCAACAAUUGACUAUGUUGGAGGCUGAAAUAAGCCUCAGUGGUAAAGACUGGCACUCUUUCUCUCAUUAUAUUUGAUUGGUUAGCUUCCAUUCUAAUUAUAUUGUAUUAUAGUGUGUUAUCUUGCAUUCUGAUACUAUUAUUUAGUAAAUUAGUUUGUUUCUCCUCAGAUCAUAGCUGCUGUUCUUAAUUAUUUGGGGUCCCCUGUUUCCCCUUUCCAGAGGCACAGAUAUGCAGAUCCCUCUGCCCCACCACUCAUGGAACUGGGCUGAACCUGCCCAUAAACCAUUGACAAAGACUGACUAAAUUUUUGCCAUAGCUCAUGCAUUAUUUCUCCUGAAGUCAGUUACUUAACUCUUGGAUUUUAGGUUAUGUUCUAACCCUCCUUCCUCUGAACGCUUUAUUUAACCAUUCACAGAUGUACUGUACAUCUCUUAACCACUUCUUUUUAGUGUUGUGUGACAGUGCCCCACAACACAGCUUCUUUUGUAUUAUAAGGUAACUUACAUGUCCAUAUUUUAUAUAAAAGCAACAACACAGUAGAGAGAUCUGUAAAACAAGAAGACUUAUUUGUUCCCAGUUCACUUCUUUUUUUCAUGUUUACUUAUUAAUAUGCAGUCAUGCAUGGAAACACUCUUGUUACAUUCAAUUUCAUUGGUAUUCAGCUCUUUCAAAAAAGAGUUAUUUCAGUCUCUGGGAAAACAAACAAAAAACACCACCAACAAAAACUAGCAAAGCAAACAACCACCACCACCACCACACACACACACGCACCAAACACAAAACAAAUGAAUAAAAAAAAUAGCCUGGGCUGUAAAGCUGAGUUCCCAGCUCCUGUUUGUGCAAAUAUAAAAGUACAUAAUGAAUAUAUCUGGACACCAGUGUGGGAAGAAACUCAGCUGGAAGCUCUUUGACCUUGUAGAGGAAAAGCCAACAGAUGAAGCUGUCAAUUUGGAUAAAAUUGAAGUAAAAGUAAGGUGCACAUGUUAACAGUGGUGAUAAUUAACUACUGGACUACCUUACCAAUACAUGCGGUAGCAUCUCCUUUACUUGGUCUCUAUGAAGUUGUUAUUAUAUUGAGCAUGUGUCUGUCAAAAGAGACGGAAACACAUGAAAGACAGAUCCAUCAAGAACCAUUAAUUGUGAGCGAGCAUGUACAGUUUCCAUCACAGACCAUCUUUAAAUUGCCAAAUGUGAGAAAUAAACAGAAUAUCCUGUAAGAAGUAUUCCUCAGAACUCGCUCUCUUUCCACAGGUAUUUGUUACUCGCAACCUUAGGAGAUGUUCUGUGAUGCAUAUAAAGGUCCUUACAUUCUUAAAGAGAAUACAGAGGAAAUGAGGAAAAGGAAAUUCUAUAGCAUUCCUAAGAGAAUCACAGCAGUAAUUACUAUAAUGAUUACUUUUGGACUUGAAACACCAGGGAAAAAAAAAGUCCUUAUGUUGUAUGAAAAUUGCAAGCAGGCACACAAGAAGGAUUUAAUGAUAUAUCGACUCAUUUUGAGAUAUCGGUUUCCACAGAAAAGGCAAGUGCACUGAGAACACAAAACAGCUUUAACAUUGCAGUCAAAUGCAUUCUAAGUAUUGAAAUAUAAUCAUUGCUUUCAUUUUUCAGCCUACCAAAACUUACAGGUUUAUGUUCAUUACACCUUGGCAAAGACAGAUAAAAUAGAGACUAAGUAUUCAACUAUUCUGUGAAGAUGAAAGAGAUUGCCAAGCUGCAACAGCAUACAACUAUCAGGCAUGUUCUGAUAGCUAUUUAUUCUACCUAUACUGACUGCGAUCCAACCACUGAACUAAAAGUGGUCCAGCAGCAAUUCCUGGAAAAUCUGUUUGGACAAACGUUUAAUACAAGGUUCAGUAAGAUGAAAUUCCUACUAUGAGAAAUCAAGUAGAAAAGCUAGUCAGAAUAAAAAAUGACAAAAGAUAAAGUGCAAGAUUUAUCAAAAGUGGUCAAUCUGCACACCUUAAGAGCUAUAAUCCAUACAAGAUAAAUUGAUUCAUAAAUUGAUCUCAACUGAGAAUGCCAAAAAUUAGUAUUAAUAGAUUGAUUUCAAAGGCAAUUAAGAAAAGGUUGGAAGGAGCAUUUACAACUCCUUACCCAUGUCUCUCAUUUUUAAUACUGAAACAUUUUUGAUGCAGUGAAGGCAAGGAUCUAACAAAGAGGUGCUACAUGGAACAUGCAACAAUGGGCUGCACAGCAGGCUCCUUCAUGGAUAUUAACAUAAGGAAUGUCCUCAUGAAAAAAAAAAAAACAACAAGGGAGACUCAUUGGCUUGUUCUGCUAUAAGCACUGAAGAAUAAAACUUAUCCUUUCCCAGGAGGCAUCAUUCCAUCAAUGUUAUUUAGUCUGUAGGAAUGUUCAUCAUCACUUUGCUGGUAGGAUACAUUCUACUACUUAGAGUCUCAAUUCUGUGUCAUUUUCUGAGGUUUGUCUGAAACAUUUUCACUGUUACUGCAGAUGAAACCUGGAAGAAGGAGUUAGAGGCUGCCUUUUUCUUCAAUUUCUGCCUAGCAGUUCAUGAAUAAAUUACUCACUGACUACAUGUUUAAUUAACCCUUCCACACUUCCUCUGUUCCUUUCUGUUUAGCUCAUUUUUUUCUAGGCUGCAGUGAAUGGGUAUCGCUCUGGGCCAUAUAAAAAUAUUUGGCUGUCCAUUAAUGCCCAAACCACCGAGGCACGUCUUCAGCUUAUUUGUAACACUGGGGAAAGAUCUUUGCUUUUAAAUGAAGCUGACAAAUCAAUGACACAUUCUCAAGGGUACUUUAAAUAUUACUGUUUGAAAGCUAUUAUAUUGCCUCUGGAUUCCACCACUGUUAAUGCAAAAGAACUAGAUGAAUAAAUAGAGCUAAUGAACUAAAGAAACACUUAGUUUAUAAACUUUCCCUUUAGAGACUUAGUUUUGAUUUGGUUGUCCAAAACUUGGGAGGUUGAAAGUCUUAUUUAUUGAUGGUAUUCUCUGCUUAUGUAUAAUAUAUAAUGCAGAGCAGGAAAUCACAUUCAUUUUAAAUACAUCCAGAAAAAUAUACCUGUAAUGUUUCAUUCUUCUGACCAUGGCAAAGAAUGGAAUUUUUUUUUUUCAAACACUGACAAAAUCUGCAUAGUCUUUGAAAACUGUUGACUAAUAUACAACAUACUAAUAUGUGGGAAGAAGAGCCAGAAUGUCUAUGGCAAUCACACAUAUAGUAUACUACUUUUUUUUCCCCAGUGAUAGUGGCUUUUGAAGGUGAGGAAGAUGGUUGAAAGCCAAGACGCUUUUUCACAUGUACAUAGACACACACAGAUCCUCAGCCUUUUCUAGUUCACCCGUGAGGUUCCAUAUUUCCAAGGAAAUACUUCUAAGAGAGCUGUACUUGUUUAUCCUUUCUCUAAUAUUACUGCUGUGAGCUCUUUUUUAAUGCUCACAUUAUCAAAAUGAUGGUAGAGAGAAAUUCUGGCAUAAUUAAAUGGCUUAGAAGAGGCUUUCCCAUUCUUUUUUCGCUUUAUAAUGCUGUUUUUUAUGACUAUUAACUGCAACAGAGAGUAAAAAAACCAGCCUGCAGAAAUCCAGAUCAGACUCAUUCUCUUUCUUCACAGAUGACCAAUGCAGUCAUCACUUUGAAGUUAUGAAAGUGCAAAAUAUAAAACUUGCUUAAAUAUGCUUAUCAGUUUUGAUAAGUUAAUGGCUUUUUCUUAGUAUAAUUGGUCCUUCUGGGAAUGGUAGUUCUCAUAUUUCCUAUUCAUUUAUUCUUGGCAUCUUGGGAACCUCCACUCUUAAUUUCCAGUGAAAUUAACAAUGAUUAGGCUCAGUUGCUGGUUUUAACUGUCCUGUGCAGAAAGUAGCAUCAUUGUUAUGUUAUAGGAGCUAGGAGAUCUGGAUUUAACUUUUAGAUAUGUAACUUGCUUACAUUGUAUCCUCAUUGUACAAAUCUCAUGUGCUUUUACUUGCAUGCCUCUCCAUCACACUUGCCCAGGAGAAACUAGUUCUUGGUUUUGAAUGCAGAGUUUAUCAAGAUUCAUCUAUGUCUUCAAACAAGACCUCUAGUAAUGAUUUCAGUAAGUUCCAGCUGUUAGGUCAUUACAUCCUUUGAAGACAUUUAUCCAAGAAAAGUAUCAAGAGCUGCAUCAAAGCUAUGUCAUGGAAUCAAAAGUGAGUCUGGUCCAUGGCCUAUUUAACAUAUGGUCCCAAAAGCUGUUCUUGAAGAAUGGGCCAUAGUAUUUCACACCAAGAACAAUCCUGUUAAUUAAGACAGAACCUUGAGGAAUAUAGGAGAAAUGGAAAACAUCUUUUCUGCAAGCAGAACUCCAGGCUUGACUAGUCAUGUUAGCUCUAAGAUACAGUAGUGACAGAGAUGUUGUAAGGCAUUUUGAAGCACUGAAACUUUUCAUUUCCCAUUACCUCUAUCCAACCACCACCCCUGUUAUCUUCUGCUUUUCCCACAUCUAUAGACCUCACCUCAUUAUAAAGCUGCUGAAACUGGCAGAGAUCAGAGAUGUCAACCACACUAUAUGUCUCCUUCAGAAAGGCACUGGCAUAUCUUAAACUGCCCAUGCUGCAGCACAGAAGUUAUAUUUGGGAUAACUAGUCCCAGGGAAGUCACUAGGAAUUCUGCUGAAAAAAAAUGUCCUAGGUAUUUUUGAUAAUCCUAUCCUGUAGUAAUGGGAUUUGUUGAUAAUAGAAGAGUAAACAUUAUACCAGUGCUGUAAACUUGAGUAAACUUGAGGGUAAUGAAUCUCUAAUUAAAUAUGGCACUUGUAAAAAGCAGCAUUUUUUUUCUGGUUGAUUUUUUACUUUCUCUUGACUUUUGGAUUUGCUGAUGAAACAAUGUAGAAAUAAAAGAGAAAGUUCUUGAUAAUUUGCCCUGUUAUUUUGUAAUUACACAUUGGGAAACAAAGUGGAAUGUUGCAUCUCAGUGUCCCAAACCCAUGGUGGGGCACAUCUGAGUGACAUGCAAGAAUUGUCCAUAAAAGAUAAUGAG
rnacentral:lncRNA from 1 species